AACGCUUUAUUAUUGUUAAGAAAGUUUGGCCGAAAUUGCGCGAAAGCAUACUCCGAUUUUGUUUUUAGAAUCGUAAUUAUGUCAUGCGAACGUGCACACAAUCACAAUAAUUUGAUUAACUAAGAGUAUGCCAAAAAUUUCAUAGCAAGAUAUUUGAUAAUCACGAUAUUUUGCUAAUUAUUACAUCAGCCAAAUAAAGAAAGCAUUUCACACAUAAAAAUAGGACACUAUUUUGUCUCAGCUAACAUACAUACACUCUGCAUAAAUUAUUUAUUUCCUUUAGACAAAUUCAUUGUACAAUUUGAUUCAUCCUAAGUUUUCCUCCAAUUUGGAGACUCUCCGCUAGUCAUGUAGCAGAACUGGUAACGACCCAAAAGAGCACAAAAUAUUGAUUGGCAUAUCACAAUCAAACUGCAGAAUGACCACCGAAAUUAAUUACCCAGCGGUAUCCGUGAAAGUUUACUAUAAAAUAUCAAGAACGAAACAGUGUGCAUCACUUGGCAUUUUUGCGGACAAACACCAAGAAUCGGUUAUAUUAGGUUGAAGGAACUAAAAGUUUAAAGCAACAAAUCAAAUACUCAUGUUCAACAGAGAGUGACAAACUCAUAACAUUUAACAAAACCAUGCGUUUAAGUGCGGAAUGAAACUGAAAGUAUUGAGAUAAGAUAAAAUGAACCUUUGCAAUUACUUGACUGCUUCUUUCAAAAUUCAAACAAGGAUGAACCUCUGACCGGAGCCGGGACCGUUAAACGGAAACUCAUCGGCGACAACGACAGUACCUCGACUUGCAGCUGAACGGAGACUCGGACAGUAACUUCCGACGACUCGAAGCUCACCGGAAAAACUUGAACCAAACAAAAAACGACGAAGAUGAACUCCAACUGAUA
rnacentral:lncRNA from 1 species